rnacentral:rRNA from 1 species
UACAGAGGUCUCAAGCGUUGUUCGGAUUCAUUGGGCGUAAAGGGUGUGUAGGUGGCGCCGUAAGUCGGGUGUGAAAUCUCGGGGCUUAACUCCGAAACUGCAUUCGAUACUGCGGUGCUUGAGGACUAGAGAGGAGACUGGAAUUCAUGGUGUAGCAGUGAAAUGCGUAGAGAUCAUGAGGAAGACCAGUGGCGAAGGCGGGUCUCUGGACAGUUCCUGACACUGAGACACGAAGGCCAGGGGAGCAAACAGG